AGUUAGGAUACUGAGAACAUGGUACACUAACGCUCUAGAGUCGAUAAAUGCAGGGUAAAACGGAAAAUUUCUGCCCUGAAAGCUCUGAGCAAGCAGUGGCCCUUUCAGCAGACUCAUUUCCACACCUAGAGAAUAGCUGUGCUACUCUGCAAAUCAGCAGGUGCAAACUCACCUCAGCUGAAGGGCUACACCUGGGCAAAGGGCUUUUUCUCACAUAUAAGAGCAAUAAGUGGGCUUGUUCUUCUUGCUGCAGGUUGUAGCCUGCAUUGAUCUUCUUUGGGGCUUGCUACAAGACUUGCAACUAUAAGCACAGGGGUUCCUUAUUGAGGAUGUGUACCCUAUUCCUGCGUGGGCUGUGGAUGCUUCUCUGGUGCUGGAGCUGCGUGGCAUGCAUUUGACCACAAUUACUGUAAAGAAGCUGUCCACUCAUUACUGCAAGCUCUGGGGAAAAGGAGGAGUGACAGAAUAUAGACUGAUAUCGGAGAGGUCGGUGUGUGGCAUCCUUGUGUACAUGCCACCCCUGGAGCAGGAUCACGGAGUAGGAUGUGUUUGCCACAUGCCUGAUCUGCGUUGCUGAAUAAGCCUCCAGUGCAGAGGGUUCAGUCUUUUGGAACUUGAAUUAAUCUUGCUGUUUCAUCUUGAAGCUCGCGCAUGUGUGCAUGUCUUUUAAAUCUUCUGAAACUGUGUUCAGCCGUACUUCCCGAGAGCUCACUUAGCAAUGCAAAUGCAUUAUAGAAUCAAUGGGGAACAGGAAGAAGACAAACAGAAAACUGUUGUAACUAUCUUCAUGCUUUCUUUUCCAAGAGGACAGCUGCUGACAAGAGACAGGGUUCCUGUAGAACAGUCAUCCUUCUAUCUGGCCUUCGACAGCUCAGAGAAGACAGCAAUUAAGCCAAAGUGAAAGGUUGGGCUUAUGGACACCUGGAGUUCUGUCUAAUACAGCAUCAAGAUGCAGCUGGAACAUAUAACCAGACCUAAAUGUUCCAGUCCUGGCUUACUAACUUUGAUGUCUCGGUGACCUGAAUCAACAAGCAGCUUUAAGACGGCCACAUGGAUACUCUGCUUGCAAAUCUUUUCUAUCGAUUCAGAACCUGAAAUGUUACCUCCAGAUUAUGGAAACUGGCAAAAUUCAUAACCUGGCAAAAGGGAAAAUAUUCACAGAACUCUUGGCAAGAAACCAAAUCAAACUAUUCUUUUUAAUUGCAGCAAGACGGAGAAGCUUGAAAAGGCUCGCCCUCCUCAAAGAACGCUAUCUGAUUCGUAAGCAUUCCUAGAGGUUAAGGCUGGUGACUAUCAGGAAAGCAAAUACUUCACGCAAGGGGAGAAAUAACGGGAUAAAAAAAUAAUUCAGUUGAAAUGCCUAGACAGUAAUGAAAUAAAAAAUUCUACACAUCCUUAAAAAGCGAGACACCUGCUCUUGGAUGGGUGCAGCUAAUGGGCCAGACUGACAUAUCAUGGGAGUGUUUCAAAGGGUCCCGAUUGGCUUGACAAGUGGCAGUUCUCCCAGAUGUUCCACAUUUUGUGAUGAGACCAGAACCGCAUCAUACAUUGCCCAUUUACUAAAAGACAUGAUGGAGUAAGAAAUUAAUGCCUGCCUCAGACACGCUGUCUUGGGAGCUUUGGAGACAGGUUGCUUUAGAUCUUUGAAAUUUUAAGGGCCUUCUCAUCUGAACUGCUAGGAGACUUUCCAGGUUACCUUCAGAUGACAUAUACAGUAAAUCCCUUCAUCAGUCCUGUUGGUGCUUUUGAAACAGUGGGUGCCUAUCAGCAGUACAUGGAAAUGAGAUGGAUGCUGCUAAACCAGGCUACCUUCAUCCAAGUCAGUUUAUUAUUUAAAACAAUGUAUUACUGUAACACCAAAACGUUCUGGCCAGAUUUCAGCAUGACAUUGUUUGAGACACUGCGCAAGCACAGGACAGGAUAAUCCAUUGCUGUGAGGAGCCUACCCUUUAAUUUAAAGACUGUUCCAGACAAAUACUAGAUGUGGUGAUUUAUUUAAGAAAAGACGCCUGGAACUGAUGGCCAUGAUCCAAGAUUGUUAAGAAUGAUCAACUCAUUGCAAAACAUUUAAGUGGGUGAUAACUUGGUCACCAAUCUCAAAUGGUGCUGGUCUCUCAAAGACACGUCCCCUUGUUGUAAUAACUGGCAGAGCUUUGAAUAUGGAAAAAGCCUGUGGUCUGCAGUACAUAUAGAUUAGUAAUGUGAGGUAAUGCCAAGAGAAUUGAGAUCAAAAGUAUAAAUUAUUGUAAUAAAUAACUUUUACCAAAUUAGUUUACAUUCCUUAUAACUGUUUCAUGCUCAGCCCCCAAGCACUCUGACAUGCUCUGAACAGAAAUUAUGAAUGACAAUUUUAGCUGGAUUUGAAGAUCUUUAAGACAGGACUUUUACCCCACUCAUUCUCUGUAUUUGUUGUUUAGCUCUGCAGACCCUAUAUUUUAUUUGGGAAAGCUAAAUAUUAUCUCCAUACCAGUAUUAAUAGAUAGUUGUUACUGGAUGUCCAGGUUCACCUGGACUUGAAGACAGAGCCUGAUGCUUACGUGGAAAAUGUUGUUCCUUACAGAACAUUUGACACAAGUAGUGACAUCUAAUGCUAAUGCACAUGGCAGGAUUGGAGUGUGGGACCCUGAAAAGGUCUGAGAGGGAAAGUGAAAAUCUACAUAUUUGUGUUUGUGCAUGUAUAUUUACAUGUAUGUGUGUCUGUGUACAACAACACAAAUUCUGUUUACUUGUGGUAAGUGGAGAUAAAACAGAUGUUUUUACUGGAUUUAUUGAUUCCCGAGGUCAUAAAGUAAUUUUUUUCCUAUUUUGUGCUGGGUUCUUUUUUAUAUACAGUUCACAUGUGGAUGGUACAGCUUUGAUGGGGUACUGGAAGUAUGUGACCAAGUGCGCGGUCUCAGAUGAACAUCCUUUUUCUUUUUGGUCUACAUUUCCGUUUGGUAUGUCUUUAUUGGCUUGGCUGCCUUCCUCCUCUUUACAACUACCUUUUGAUCAAAGAAACAGAAGAGAGCUUUCUUCCUUCCCAGACACCGUGCAGAAGUCCUAUGUGAAAUAGCCUCCUGUAGCCCACAAGUCUCUCAUAGUGAUAAUUCAGUCAGGUGACAAAUUCCAAUCUUGCCCUAUGGACCUUGUGCUGAUGCUGAUAAUCUCUUUGGGGAAUGACAGCAAGGAGACUGGAGGACUCUAAAUUUUAUUGGCAAGAUCCUGAGGGUCUGGCUAAGGUUUUUUGUAGAUUCCUCAGGGAAUCAGCCAAGCCUCUGUUAGUCUUCUGUUGAUACAGCUUGUGGCUUGAUCCUACGGAUAGGCUUGAGAAGCUCAGCUGUCCAUUUAGCCAAUUCAGUUAAAUGCAGGAUGGUGCUGACUGAAAGCUACGAUCAGCCAAAGGUGUCUCUUCCCCUAGAAGAAGAUUCUCUGUAUGUCAGCAACGAAGUGCAAAGGGGCACACUUGUGUUAGCACCACCCAGGCUGUCAACAAAGAACUUCUGUCCUUAGAGCUAUCAAAUGAAAUUCAUAUGAAUUUCUGACUCUUCCUAAACCACGUUCCUGCCAGGCAGAAGAGAUCACAAGAUUAAUCAGCAUUCUCUCCUUCGCCUUGUUGCAUCUCUACAAUUUUUAAGUACUGUGCCUAUCAUAAUGCUCCCAGGAGGUUUCCUUAACCACAACAUCUCAUCUCUGCAAACAGCUGCUUCCUUUUUGCACAAGAGUUCUUGGAGGCUUGCUUCACUUAUCAAAACUAAGCCACUGAAAAGCUGGGAAAUAACUAAGUUCUACUGGGAGAUGAAAUCCCAGCGCAGAUGGACAGAUUUGCUUAACCUAUAAAAUAAUUCUGGAAUAACUAUUGUCUUGGCAAAAUUCAAAAAUGUAACAAAGUUUGAUUGUUCUUGGCUUCUCCUGAUUUGCUUACUUUGGGGUUAUUUUUUUGACCCUCAAGAUGCACAUGUUAUUCCCAUUACUGUUAACAGGAGUUAUAUAUACACACACAUGUCUAAGGGAGCCUUGACCAUUUACUUUUAGUGUUCCAAGGUCAGCUGAAGUCUGGACCUUUUACUUUCUCUAUGCUCCACUAAUUGAGAAAAAAAGCUUAUGCAAGACUUCCUUGGGGAACAUGGAGUCUGCGAUUUUUACAGCCCAUGAGGCUAAAAUUCAAAUAUGAACCACAGCUGUUUGGACGGGAGUCCUGGACCUCUUCAUUUUGAACUAUAGUGACCUGUUCAAUCUCACCAACACAGGAAGCUCCAAGAUCCCGGCGUAGCUAUUGCCUGGGAUGGGAGAUUUGCCUGCCAGGCAUAUCUGGGUAUAGUAAGCAAUUUAUAGUUCUCUGGGAUUUGCAGGUGGAAAGGCUGUUUACACAUAUACACACACACACAUAUGCAUUUAUAUACACAUCACAUUUUUGUGUGUCUGUACAUAUAUAUGUACAUAUAUAUGUGUGUGUGUGUCUAUACAUAUAUCAAGCUUUUAAUAUAUAUUCACCAUUCUAACAAGCUGACCAAAUGUUCUUGUUGAAGAUGAUGAAGUUCUUUCUUGCUAGGUACAGGUAUUUCUGUGAGUCCUGCUGGUAAGAGGUAAAAUAAGAAGAAAAACAGAGUGUAGAAUAAACUUCUCUUUUGAUUUAAGUAGUGAUAGACCUCCAGUACCUUAAGGAUUUUCUUCACUCAGCUACAUUCUGUGGAGUUUGCCCAUCGUGCACCAUCACACUUCAAAAAAUUUGUGAAGUGGAAAAAAUGGUUUUUGGCUCAUGCUUCAGGAGGCAACAUGCAAGAACUCACUGUGAUGCAAAAGGAAAUCUUGUACAGCUCCACAGAUAGGGUCAGUGUUGUACAUUCAGAUGCAUCUACUAAGUUCACACAGUCAUGGCAAAUAAUGCAGACUGAAGCAGAAGGGCAGGCUCCUUCAGUCACCCGGUGGGAGUCAGCCGUUCUUCUGUGGCAGAGCUAGGAGAGCUACUGAAAUGAACUAAGUCACUAUUCUCUAUACCUGUGACCCUGCAAACACUUUGAAGUUAAGUAUGUAAUACAUAUAAAAGUGCCUGCCCAAUGGUUUCACUACAAUUACACAAAUAUUUAGAAUUACACCAAUGAGAACCUUAGACAUGAUAUUCUGGAUCAUAGUUAAUCCGUUUAAAUGGACUGACAGUCCCCCUUCCAGUGACCAUUAUGACUUGCAUCAAGUUAUAAUCUCAGUAGAAAGUGCUUGACUGACUGUGUUUUUCUCUACGUCAGUGAUGGAUCUUCUCAUAGCCCCUUAUAUUUAGAAUCCAAUUCCAUUAUUUUCAAAAAUAAUAUUUAUUUUCCAUAUUAAAUAUUGAUUGUAGCAUGCAAGAUGAAGCAUACUUUGCUCCAUUUUGUGUCUGACCUUUCACAUUCAUUUCGCUAUUGCAAACUACGUAAAAUAUUAUGGAAAGACUGGAGAAAAUACAACUUCUUAUCUACUGAUAUAAUGAAUGUCAGUCUUUGUGCAUCUAAGAGCCAAAGUAAUAGAAAUUCCAACAUUCAUGCUUAUUGUCAAAUAUUAGUAAGUAAAGGCUAAGUAAAUUCUGUUUGUUUUAAUACGGAAAUAAUUUUGACUGCAUCUUUGGCUUUGUAUGACAUGGAAACUGGUGAUUGUUUAUGCUUUGCUACUUUUUUUGGUCUGCAUUAAAAUCCCACAUGAGAAACAAAUUUUUCUCUAGGAACAAAAUGUUACUUUUUUGGGUCUGCGUUCUAAUUAUUUGUGUAGUAUGUCUGUUUCUUUUCAGUUGGGAAAUGCAAAGCGUAUAAAAUCCAGAUGGAUAGCACAUGAUGCUGGAGCCAGCCCUGGCCAAUCAGCCACGUCACUUGAUUAAAAGAAGCCUAUAAGAAUUUAAGUAAAAAACCAAACCCCAGAAAAUUAUAAGAGCAGUAAACUGGCUGCAGUAUAAGAUUUCAUCAUAGCUCUGACAUUACUUUUCUUUUGCUGGUUGACCUUCCCGCACCUUCUUAAAAGUUAAUCUGCAAUUGUUUUUGUAUUAAACAUACAUGGGAUUUUGUGAUUAAUGCCCUAAAUAUGGAAGGUGGAAGAUACAUGAUAAGCAGGAUGGGGAGGAAAUUCAUCAUCAGACAUCAGGCCACAAGGACCACAGUUUGAAGGGCAACAGGGACUCAGCUGAGAGAAAUGCAACACAAGUUACUCCCAACAUGAACUGUAAUGCUGCAGACCAAUUUUCUUUGCAUGGAUUUUGUCUGUGACCGUACAGUCUUUCAGAGUGCAAGCAAGCACAUAUUCUGGCAAUUAAUCACAGGUCUUGCAGUGUGUAAAAGCUCUUAAAUAUACCAGGGGUUUCACCAAAUCUGAGAGUGAGAUUUUCUGAGAGGUCUAAUACAGCCCAUGGAAAAAGUCUGAAUGCAUCCCAGGCAGGCCUUGCAGGGGGAUGAAGCUGCAUCUGGAGUCCUUAAGGACACUGUAGGAAUGUUUAUUAUUCUUUGUUUAUUAUUCUGAAUGUAUGCUCUCCCUCUUUUUCUCUUUCUCUUCCUUUGUUAUUCGUGCAAUAAAAUUCCUCUAGGCAUAUAAAGUAAGUCAUCUGGGAUUGUGCAAUUCCAUCUGCCAGGAAGUUGGAAAAGCCCCUCUCCUGUGCAGAAGGAAAAAUAGGGACUCAUCUUAACCAUUGAGAAAUUACAGAAUUACAGCAUUUGUCUUUGGGUUAUAUUUAUAUAGCAAAGCACUGAGGCAAAUAAUUGUGCUUCUCACUGUUAAAAACUCAGCUUUUAUUCUAUCCAAGGUGCUAUGUUUAUUUAAAACUUGAGAAAUAAUUUGUACAUUUUAAAAUAAAGCAUGCAAAAUACA